CUUCACCGAGUCUCGUACGAUUACCGAAGUUAAGCAACGAAGCCUGCUUACUACCUAGAUGAGUGACCGCUUGGGAAUACCAGGUGCUGUAA